rnacentral:rRNA from 1 species
GCCUAAUACAUGCAAGUCGAGCGAACAGAUGAAGUGCUUGCACUUCUGACGUUAGCGGCGAACGGGUGAGUAACACGUAAGGAAUCUACCUAUAAGCGGGGGAUAACAUUCGGAAACGGGUGCUAAUACCGCAUAAUAUCUUCUUCCGCAUGGAAGAAGAUUGAAAGACGGCUCUGCUGUCACUUAUAGAUGACCUUGCGGUGCAUUAGUUAGUUGGUGGGGUAAUGGCCUACCAAGACGAUGAUGCAUAGCCGACCUGAGAGGGUGAUCGGCCACAUUGGGACUGAGACACGGCCCAAACUCCUACGGGAGGCAGCAGUAGGGAAUCUUCCGCAAUGGGCGAAAGCCUGACGGAGCAAUGCCGCGUGAGUGAAGAAGGCCUUCGGGUCGUAAAACUCUGUUAUAAGAGAAGAACAAAUUGUAGAGUAACUGCUACAGUCUUGACGGUAUCUUA